GAUGGCUUAAUCAUUGCAGGCCAACACCCAGCCUGGAUCUGCCUGAUGGACAACAGUAUUGAUAGUCUAGCUGACCCUUGUUCGACAAGCUGACAUUCCCCGUAUUUCACAGGCCGACGCUGGACGUGCAUCAAAGAGACUGUCAGGUCACCAAACAGCUAAUUAAAGCAAUAAAGAGUCAGGAAGGCUAAAUGGCCCCUUUCCUCCUCAGGAGCCUAAGGUCCCUUGUAGGAACCUGCAUGGUUCCUUCUUCCCUGGAAGUGCAGUCCAAGAUGGAGAGGAUAUUGGGGAAUGUCCCAGCAAGCCCUCGGAUCAGAAAAAGGAUGAAGGACCUUUGUUGACAUAUCCCCAAGAAGCUACUGGCAUUGAGUCUGAUAUAUGGCAUCAAUUUCCUCCAAUUCCUAGUUCAAAUGUCACAAUGUCACUACAGCCCUGCUGAGGGGACCUGAAUCACACCUCCGUGUAUUAGGUGGCCAACUUGAGAAAAAUCUAUAUUGGACCAGAAUGGAAAACAUGGCAGUGACAUAUCUGCAAACAAGUGUCGCACAGACAGUUCACCACCGAGAAAGGUGUUGACUUCAUAUUUUAUGUAUCUAAUCUCAGAGAAUUUUUAAAAGAGUGAAAAUAAAAAU
rnacentral:lncRNA from 1 species